GUGAGAGACAGAAUGGCAGAGAAUUGUGAGAGAAUGUCAGAAUGGCAUAGAAGUAGUUCCCAAAUAAAUACCUUGGACAAUGAGAAACUUGUACGACCUAAAGAGAAACUGCGUGUGUUAUUGCAGCAGGCAGGUGCAGACAAAGACGUUUUCACCAUGAAAGAGGUAAGAAAUGACCUGACAGUCUUGUUUCCUUAUAUCCUGCUGAUAUCGAACCACUAGUCUUUGGCUUAACUUUAGUUCAUCAAGAUAUUGUUCCAGGAAGCAGACAGAGGAAACCUUUUUAAGAUCCUCAAUAGACAUUAUCUCCCAGACUUUUCAGUUUCGGUAAUUAUUUUCUAGUCUCACAUUUUUUUUUAAUGAUUUUUUUUAAAACAUUUAAAUAUUUGAUGUUUUGAAUUUCCAAUUGCAGUAUAUCUUAGGGUUUACUCCUAGAAUAGUGGAUAUUAGUUUCUAAGGGGGGAAACUCACUCUUAAUUUGUCGUUAGCAGCCAAACUACUGGUAUAUAGAUUGUGUAGGUGUUUCUGGAUGAUUCUCUACAUUGCUAGAUUUACACUAGUUUCACUAUUGAUUGUCACUUUCAUAAACUAAGCACUGCAUACGGUAGAUGCUGUCACAUACUAGAAUGGCUUUUGACUUGGUUCUAUUGUUUUCCUAUUGAUAUGCUGUUUUACCUACUGUAGUUGAUUGAACUGAUUGUCGUGUCUACUAAACUAGAAUACAAAUGCACUGUCAUUUAAGAGCUAUGAUUGGCUAGCAGGCAGACCACCUUGGUUUGAGGACACGUCACACAGCUUUGAUGAGACACGUCAGAGGGGGGGGUCUGUCUGUGUGAGAGUCUGAGUCAUAGAGAGAGACUGGUGAUUAUCUUAGUUAGAAUGUUAGAACUGGUGAUUAUCUUCGUUAGAAUGUUAGAAUGUUCAGUCGCCUCUUGACUUCUACUCUGACUCACUGGGGUUCUGACCUCUGGAAUGUCUAACUAAUCUGGGACUCCGUGUUUGGCUCCUUCCUCUCUGUUGUUCAUCAGGGAGACAGAGUUAUCUCAGAGAGAGGGAGGCGCUCCUCUGAUGCUUUAGUUUAUAAGAGUGUAUGGGAGUUCUGAGCCUUUUACUGGUCCACAUUGAUUGCUGGAAAAUGUGUUUACAGUCUGUGUAAUCUGCUUUUAUGAUAAGGAACUGAUGCCUUCAUGCCAGUGAUCAGUCUAUCACAAUAGCCUCCUGUCAGCUAGAGAAGUAUAUUGGGUGGAGUCCUAUACUUCUACCCGGUGCAGUGAUCAUGUGUCUAUCAGUUGCCUGUCUAAAUUGUGACCCAGAAUAUUCUGGAUCAGUAUGGGAUGAGGUGUAUCAACUAGACUGAGACAGGACUGUCUGGAUCAGUAUAAGGAGGGAGGGUAUCAACUAGACUGAGACAGGACUGUCUGAAUCAGUAUAUGGAGGGAGGGUAUCAACUAGACUGAGUCAGGACUGUCUGGAUCAGUAUAUGGAGGGAGGCUAUCAACUAGACUGAGACAGAACUGUCUGGAUCAGUAUAUGGAGGGAGGCUAUCAACUAGACUGAGACAGGACUGUCUGGAUCAGUAUAUGGAGGGAGGGUAUCAACUAGACUGAGACAGGACUGUCUGAAUCAGUAUAUGGAGGGAGGGUAUCAACUAGACUGAGACAGGACUGUCUGGAUCAGUAUAUGGAGGGAGAGUAUCAACUAGACUGAGACAGGACUGUCUGGAUCAGUAUAUGGAGGGAGGGUAUCAACUAGACUGGGACAGGACUGUCUGGAUCAGUAUAUGGAGGAGGGUAUCAACUCGACUGGCAGACAUGACUUUCUGGAUCAGUAUAUGGAGGGAGGUGUAUCAACUAGACUGAGACAGGACUGUCUGGAUCAGUUAUGGAGGGUAUCAACUAGACUGAGACAGGACUGUCUGGAUCAUAUAUGGAGGGUAUCAACUGACUGAGACAGAAUAUUGUUGGUGCAGUCUUAUCCUGAGACCUUCCCAGGCUUCUCCUCUUGACCCCUGCCUGUAUCCCCUGUUACUCUCUCUCUCCUUGACCCCUGCCUGUAUCCCCUGUACUCUCUCUCUCUCUUGACCCUGCCUGUAUCCCCUGUUACUCUCUCUCUCUCCUCUUGACCCUGCCUGUAUCCCGUUACUCUCUGUUCUCCUCUUGACCCUGCCUGUAUCCCCUGUUCUCUCUCUCUCCUUGACCCCUGCCUGUUCCCCUGUUACUCUCUCUCUCCUCUUGACCCUGCCUGUAUCCCCUGUUACUCACUCUCUCCUCUUGACCCCUGCCUGUAUCCCGUUUAUCUCCUCUCUCGUGUGUGUUGCGCUGUGGUGUUGACCUCUGACCCCUGUGCUGUCUAUUUGUCAGGUGAUAUUCUACCUGGCCAGUACAUCAUGAAGAAACAGCUUUAUGACAUGAAGCAGCAACACAUAGUGCACUGUGCUGAGACCCCCUGGGGGCUGUACUGGGAGUGGACAGCUUCUCUGUAAAGAACCACGGUGAGGACACACACUGCACGGUGUGGACAUCUUCUCCAUCAAAGAGCCCACGCACUCACACAAUAACACACACAGCUUGGGACGGACAAUAAACCCCAAACACACCACACUCACACAAUAACACACACAGUUGGACGGACAAUAAACCCCCCAACACACACGCACUCACACCAAUAACACACACAGCUUGGGAUGGACAAUAAACCCCCCAACACUCACACAAUAACACACACAGCUUGGGAUGGACAAUAACCCCCCACACUCACACAAUAACCACCACAGCUUGGGAUGGACAAUAAACCCCCCAACACUCACACAAUAAAACACACAGCUUGGGAUGGACAAUAAACCCCCCAACACUCACACAAUAACACACACAGCUUGGGACGGACAAUAAACCCCAACACACCACACUCACACAAUAACACACACAGCUUGGACGGACAAUAAAUCCCCCAACACUCACACAAUAACACACCAGCUUGGGACGGACAAUAAACCCCCAACACACACACACUCCACACAAUAACACACAGCUUGGGACGGACAAUAAACCCCCCAACACUCACACAAUAACACACACAGCUUGGGACGGACAAUAACCCCCAACACACACCCACCUCACACAAUAACACACACCCUUGGGACGGGACAAUAAAUCCCCCAACACUCCACAAUAACACACACAGCUUGGACGGACAAUAAACCCCCAACACACACACACUCACACAAUAACACACACAGCUUGGGACGGACAAUAAAUCCCCCAACACUCACACAAUAAACACACACAGCUUGGAUGGACAUAAACCCCCCAACACACCACACCUGUUUGCUCGGCUAGCGUUGCUCUAAUAUAACAUCUCGGGGCCUCUAAUGCAGUCCUUCUACACAGCCUCUAAUGCAGUCCUUCUACACAGCCUCUAAUGCAGUCCUUCUACACAGCCUCUAAUGCAAGCUCUCUUGCUCUUUCUCUAAUACAGACUCUGGCCUCUAAUACAAGCUCCUCUGGCCUCUAAUACAGAAUCUGGCCUCUAAUACAGCCUCCUUUGUCCUCUCAUACAGAUUCUUUUCUCUAAUACGACGCUGGUCUCUAUACAGUUUGUCUGGUCCUCGAAUACAGACUUGUUCUCUAAUACAGACUCUGGCCUCGAUACAGACUCUGUCUCUAAUACAGACUCUGGUCUCUAAUACAGCUCCUCUAAUACAGACUCUGUUCUCUAAUACGCUCCUACUACGGACUCUGUCUCUAAUACAGACUCUGGCCUCUAAUACAGCUCCUCUAAUACAGACUCUGGCCUCUAAUACAGACUCUGUUCUCUAAUACAGCUCCUCUACACAGACUCUGGUCUCUAAUACAGCUCCUUCUAAUACAGACUCUGUUCUCUAAUACAGCUCCUCUAACACAGACUCUGGCCUCUAAUACAGACUCUGUUCUCUAAUACACCGCUCCUCUAUACUACGACUUUGUUCUCUAAUACAGCUCCUCUAUAACAGACUCUGUUCUCUAAUACAGCUCCUCUAACACAGACUCUGGCCUCUAAUACAGACUGUUCUCUAAUACAGACUCUGUUCUCUAAUACAAGCUCCUCUAAACGACUCUGUUCUCUAAUACAGCUCCUCUACUAUAUAGACUCUGGCCUCAAUGCAGCUCCUCUAUACAGACUCUGUUCUCUAAUACAGCUCCUCUAAUAAAGACUCUGUUCUCUAAUACAGCUCCUCUAAUACAGACUCUGUUCUCUAAUACGCUCCUCUAUAAGACUCUGG
rnacentral:lncRNA from 1 species